rnacentral:rRNA from 1 species
UCUUUAGUUUGGGACCUGGCUCAGAACGAACGCUGGCGGCAGGCUUAACACAUGCAAGUCGAACGCCCCGCAAGGGGAGUGGCAGACGGGUGAGUAACGCGUGGGAACAUACCCUUUCCUGCGGAAUAGCUCCGGGAAACUGGAAUUAAUACCGCAUACGCCCUACGGGGGAAAGAUUUAUCGGGGAAGGAUUGGCCCGCGUUGGAUUAGCUAGUUGGUGGGGUAAAGGCCUACCAAGGCGACGAUCCAUAGCUGGUCUGAGAGGAUGAUCAGCCACAUUGGGACUGAGACACGGCCCAAACUCCUACGGGAGGCAGCAGUGGGGAAUAUUGGACAAUGGGCGCAAGCCUGAUCCAGCCAUGCCGCGUGAGUGAUGAAGGCCUUAGGGUUGUAAAGCUCUUUCACCGGAGAAGAUAAUGACGGUAUCCGGAGAAGAAGCCCCGGCU